rnacentral:lncRNA from 1 species
CCUCUUCUCAUUGAUGGAUAUAGACCUUUUAAAUUUUAGUUCUUUUAAAUGCUUUACAGUAUUUGAUAUGUAAAUGUGAUUUCUCAAAAUAAGGCAAAAGAUGUGAUUGAAGAGCAUGGUCCUUCAGAAAAGGCAAUAAACGGCCCAACUAGUGCUUCUGGCGAUGACAUUUCUAAGCUACAGCGUACUCCAGGAGAAGAAAAGAUUAAUACCUUAAAAGAAGAAAACACUCAAGAAGCAGCAGUCCUGAAUGGUGUUUCAUAAACUGAAGAAGUUCCUAGUUUACAGUUCUUUUACAUUACAUUUACAAUAGUGCUUGUACAAGCUUGCCAAAGAUAGAAUAUGGAUCGCCAGUCUUUACAUCGCACUUUCAGUUCCUCCAUUUGGAAUUCAAAAAGGGGAGGGAUCCUGAAGAAAUCAUAUGUUAAACAUACUUUGACACCUACUGUGUUAUAAAAUAUAUCAUCAGAUGUGCCUUGAGAAUAGUAUAUGUAACAUUAAAAAAAAGUUGCUGGCUAUAGG